rnacentral:rRNA from 1 species
CCUACGGGAGGCAGCAGUGAGGAAUAUUGGUCAAUGGGCGCUAGCCUGAACCAGCCAAGUAGCGUGAAGGAUGACUGCCCUAUGGGUUGUAAACUUCUUUUAUAUGGGAAUAAAGUGCAGUAUGUAUACUGCUUUGCAUGUACCUUAUGAAUAAGCAUCGGCUAACUCCGUGCCAGCAGCCGCGGUAAUACGGAGGAUUCGAGCGUUAUCCGGAUUUAUUGGGUUUAAAGGGAGCGUAGGCGGGUUGUUAAGUCAGUUGUGAAAGUUUGCGGCUCAACCGUAAAAUUGCAGUUGAUACUGGCAGCCUUGAGUACAGUAGAGGUAGGUGGAAUUCGUGGUGUAGCGGUGAAAUGCUUAGAUAUCACGAAGAACUCCGAUCGCGAAGGCAGCCUGCUGGACUGUAACUGACGCUGAGGCUCGAAAGUGUGGGUAUCAAACAGGAUUAGAUACCCCAGUAGUC